rnacentral:pre_miRNA from 1 species
AUUUGUUUGUUGAUGGUCAUCUAUUCAUCAUAUCAUUUGGCAUAGUUUUUGGAACCAUUAAUAUGCCAUGAUUAGAUGAACAUCAACAAACAUCUUC